GACCGAACCGGUUGAACCGAACCCGAACCGGCUUAUCGGUCCAACCGGACCAGCCCAUUAAAAAGAGCCACGGGCUCUUUUUCCCUCAUUUCCUCAAGGACGCAGCUGAGCUCCAGGGAGAGGAAAGGAACGCCGAACCUUUACGGCAAAGUUCCAAAUCCCGUAAUUCCUCCGUUCGAGCUCCAAUCGUCGCACCGUUUGCGGCCACGCGUUCACCGCGUCGAGCUCUACAUUUCUACCGGAACAAUUUCAUAGGUAACUCAUUAUUUUACACUCAGCCUUCAUUUCCCCCAAUUUUCGAAUUUUAAGUGGGAAUAUUGAAUUUCUUUGAUUUCUGAUGUUUUAGGAUCCAAUUAGCUUGAGAAAAACGUUCACUCUUGCUUAUGUGAAGCUUAGGUAAGGUUGUGAAUAAAUAAUUGGAGCUUGAAAUUGUGAAUACUGGAACUUGGAGGAAGCGGAUUAGUUGAGUUUUGAGGGGCUGUCUUGGUUUUGAAUAAAUAGCUUUGGUCGUUACGUGGAAAUCGGCCAAGAUGCAGGUCGAGAGGCAUCUCGUUAGGCGUCUGGACUCUUGAAGCGAAGUGGUUACUGGGAUAUUUUGUUAUGCUAUG